CGGUGCCCCGGAGGCCAUUUUUCAUUUUUUUUUUUUUUAAAUUGAAUAGGACAGAGAGAAAUUGAGAGGACGGGGAGGUGGAGCGUGAGGGAGAAUGACACCUGCAGACCUGCUUCAUCACUUGUGAUGAAGUAUCUCCUCUGUGGUUGGGGAGCCAGACCCUCCAACCGGAAUCCUUGCGUGGGUCCUUGCGCUUCGUACGAUGGUGUGCUUAACCCAGUGCGCCACUGCCCAGCCCCUGGAUCUCCGUGUUCUUAGCUAUAAAAUGAAAGGAUGUUUUGAGAUCUCUACAUGCUCUAAGAUACUAAGACCCAACAUAACCUGUACAACUGACAGUCAUCAGAACAUGGGUCCACACAGAACAGAAGAGUCAUGGAGAGAGAAAAGCAUGAUUCUGAAACAGCUGAACCUGAUCUUGUGACCUGGGAGGGUUUGGUGACUGUCUAAAAAGAUGGACACAUGAUAAAACUAAGUUGGGUUAAAGAAGGUAAAUACAAAUAGUGAACUAUAAAAAAGUGGAAAUAAUUAAAUAUGGCUUAAAAACCACGAUCCACAGGAAAAAAGUUAGCGUAUUUAAGUCUACACAAAGAAUUAUUACGUGACAAAAUCACACUAGCAGAAAAGAUUCUUCUAGUUCCCAUAUAUAGAGAGCUAGUUUCCUUAAUAUCUAGAGUCCCUACAGAUCAAUAAGAAAAAGAUCAUCUUGGCCUGGGAGAUGGUUUAGUGGAAAUAGUUUGGAUUCUCAAGCAUGAGGUCCUGAGUCCUGAGUUUGAUCCCAGGCAGCAUAUUUGCCAGUCUUACUCUGUUUUUCUCUUCCUUUCUUUCUCUCUUUCUCAUUAAUAAACAAAUUUUCAGGAAAAAGCUGUCAAUCCGGUUUACUUGAUGGACUAAGAAAAUAGACAUUGUGCAGAAAAGGAAAUAGGAUUGUUCUUAGCCAUAUAAAAAUAUUGCCCACAAGAAGUAAGAACAGUGCAUUUUAACUCUACAGAAGUAGAAACACUUUCCAAGUGUAAGAUGGCACAGCCUGUAGAGAGAGCACUUAGACAAUACUGAUUAAAAGCGCAAUACUUAUAAAAUGAGGCGUUUUUCCCCCAAGAUGGUUCAUUAAAUUAUUGCUUGUAAAAGGGAGAAAAAAAAAAAAAAGGAAACCACUUUAAUAUCCAUCAGUAUAGAACUGGUAAAUACAUUAUCAUAUACCUACCUAUACCAUGUAAUUCUGAAUUGUUAAAAAAGGGGGGGCAUGGAAUGGUCUAGAAGAUAUUAGUGAGAAAUUGGGAACAAUAGUGCCUAACUUUUCUGCACCCCUGUGAGAACUCCUAGGAGACCAGUGGUCUCCACAGCAGAGGCUCACUUUGCUCUACACUGAAUUUUCUGCCAGGUGCAUCUUCUAUUUAAAAAAAAAACACUUUCAAAACAUGAGGUUAGGUUGCAAAGGAGAGAGUAGCAGGUAGGGCAGCAAGAAGGAUCUCACCUUUGUUCUGCACUUUCACACAGGCUUUGGGCUGCCCCUUCCUCAGGCUCAUGUAAGCAUCAGUGCCAUUUUUAUAGAUCAAGAAAUUAAAGUGCAGAAGUCUGAGAUGACUUGCCCAAGCUUACAGAGAGAGCUUUGGAACUGGACAGUGAAGUCAUUUUUCAGUCCAAAACCGUUGGGAGUCUUUGCAGAUUAGCAUUUUGUUUUCCUUCCUUUUUUUAACCGACAACUUUCUGGUUGAGGACUUCAUCUGUACAGCCUGUCCCACUCUCCCAUGGGAGCCAGUGUCCCAUCCCACCUCUACCGAGCUCACUGGUCCCGAGGGGACAAAGCUUAGGUCAUAGGUGGCAGAACUAGCCCUAGGGCCAAUCAGUCACAUCAGAUACACCGAGGAGUGCCAGGGAUGGGCUGUACAGGCCUGCCUUUGAAGUUCAGCUUUUAUCAGAGUGUCUUAACCUUGACAUUAUUUCAAGGGAGCUUUUAGUACUGUCUGUGAACUGGCCUCAGGUAGGUGUUGGCUGCUAUCAGGGGCCCAGGGAGCUAUGCCUGAUUCUCACUGUGUUUCCUGGGGAGGGCAAAAGGCACUUGUUACUUGGAAGAUUCUAGAAUAAUAACUUUCUGCUUCUGUUCGUCUGUCCAGAGGUACAGUUGGAUGGCAUCUCCUUAAUUAAAGGGAGGAAAUGGUGCUUUUUGUUUAUUUAUUUAGUCUCAUGGAAACACCUGUGCUGUUUUCAAACUGCUUCCUUGUUGAUAGAGAGACACUGCUGGGGAACAAAGCUAAAGGUGUUGCUGUCUGUGAGAUGAGACUGUAAUUUAUAGGAUGCAACUUCCUCUGGGGGAAGAAUGUGAUGUCUUUUAGAGACACGGGAUUACCCAGCACUACCUGGCCAGUGUGUCAAGGCACAUUUAUUUUCUGAGUUGGACUCACCAUUUCCUAAGAAAGAGGGCCCUUUGGGGCUAAGCAGUGCCAGGGAGGUUGGAAGUCUUUCGGACCCAUGGUAUGACCAACACCUAUCUUUACAGGCUUUAGAGGAUGAGUCCAAAGUCCGCCCAGUCCUUUUUGCUUGUCUGGCUGGCAGAAGUGCUGUGCCCAUGUGAAGUGUAUACGCUGCUGAGUGACCAGGAGGCGCCUGAUAAACACAUUCCAGGCGGAUGGAGCUUGAUAUCUAAGAUAUUUAGACUUAAAAGCAUUUGAUCUCAAAGAGGCCGGCUCCUGGAGGAAUCUAGACAUCUCCUGUUGCUCCUCAGAUAGUCCUGCUGCCUGAAUAAUUCAGUCCACACCUGUGGGGUUUUCCUUCCUUGGACUCCAAGCCAUCUCUUUACUCAAAGGCUGGCUUCUGUAAACGCGCUACAUUCUGAGAACUCUACCGCUCUCUCCAGUGUCCCUCCAUUAUCUUGUGUUCUAGUGUAUUAUCUGGAAAAACUUCUGUAUACUGUCAACUUCAGUUAUUAAGUCUGUUAGGAUUUUUGUUUUUGUUUUCCCUCCAAAUUCUUCCUUGGGGGCUUUUAUAUCUUGACUAUAAAAAUUCAUUCCUUCUCAGCAACUCAGGUCCUUCCCCGCCACCCUUUGAAGUUGGUGCUGGGGGAUUUUGGAAGAUUUUAUUUCCUCUUCACUGGAAACCACCUCUGAGACCUUGAAAUUAGUUUUAGGUGGUUUUAGAUGGUUCAGUCCAGCGUUUUGUUUGUUUUUCCCCAAAUCCAGUUCAGAUUUGAAUGUCCAAGGGCUGAAUAGUCUCCUGGAUCUUGGGUCUCUUCGCUUUUUGGAAAAUAGCUUUUAUUGAUUAUUUUUUUUCCCUCAUAGCAAAGAGGUUUAUGAUUGUUGCAGAAAAUUUAAGAGCUACAAAAAAUAAGAAAAUAAAAACCAGGUGAAAUAUUAA